AAAGCAUCUAAGCACGAAACUUGCCCCGAGAUGAGUUCUCCCUGACUCCUUGAGGGUCCUGAAGGAACGUUGAAGACGACGACGUUGAUAGGCCGGGUGUGUAAGCGCAGCGAUGCGUUGAGCUAACUGGUACUAAUGAACCGUGAGGCUUAACCUUACAACGCCGAAG
rnacentral:rRNA from 1 species